rnacentral:misc_RNA from 1 species
GAAAUGCGAUAAGUAAUGUGAAUUGCAGAAUUCAGUGAAUCAUCGAAUCUUUGAACGCACAUUGCGCCCGCCAAUAUUCUGGCGGGCAUGCCUGUUCGAGCGUCAUUUCAACCAUCAAGCCCCCGGCUUGUGUUGGGGACCUGCGGCUGCCCGCAGGCCCUGAAAAACAGUGGCGGGCUCGCUGUCACACCGAGCGUAGUAGCAUACAUUCUCGCUCAGGGCGUGCUGCGGGUUCCGGCCGUUAAACGACCUUCAUAACCCAAGGUUGACCUCGGAUCAGGUAGGAAGACCCGCUGAACUUAAGC